UGUUAGUGUCGAAUUGGCCUGGUGAAAUUUACAAAUAAGAGGCAAUUUACGGAAUGAAGUGCAUAUUUGAACUUCUAAAUAAUAAUAAUUGCUAGAAUUGAAGUUUCAGCGGCUAGAAUUGAGUUUCACUUAUUUAAAAAAAAUCAGUUGAGUAGCCUUGAUCUUGAUAGUAUGACGUAAUGACUUGCAGGAGCGUAUACAUGCUUCCUCUGAGCUGGCUUAAAGUGGGGUUGUCAUUUUAGCAGGGGCCUCAGGAAAACUGGAACAGUGAAAAAACGGUGUGUGGUUACAGACUUUUGUGUGAGGUUUUGAAAGUUAGGUAGGCGACUCUAAGCCGAGAAGCUCAGAAAACUGUUUACUGCCUCCUUAAGAGCAAAUCUUGAAAAUUUGUGUGUGGUAACAGACUUUUGUGUGAGGUUUUGAAAGUUAGGUAGGCGACUCUAAGCCGAGAAGCUCAGAAAACUGUUUACUGC